CUAUUCACUUUUUACCAAUUUGGUCAUCAUUGGGCCAUUGCCUUCCACAGAAACUGGGAUUCAAACCCAAGGCCUUGUGCAUGUUAGGCAAGUGCUCUUAGCACUGAGCUAUACCCUCGGCCCUCAUUUUUCUGAAUCAAGAAAAUACCAGUCACUGCAGUCACUAUCAAGGAGAUUAAAAUACCUCUGCUCAGCCCUAAAAAUGCUGAGAGGAAAAUAAAUUAUGAGUGCUUGUUAUUGUCAGGUAUAGACACCUAGUAAGAAAGAUGGAUAUCCCAUCAUGUAUUUUAGGCUAAUAGUUGAGUGUGAUGAAAAGAAGAUCUUAAUAAGGAAGAAAUCUGAAUUUCCCUUAAAUAAUAACAACAAGCAAAUAGUUGGGCAAAUGGAAUGGCUUGUGUUGGUAGAAGUCAACUUAUUUCUCAAAAAAAAAAAAAAAAAAAGUAAAAUGUUACCUUUUUAAAUUUGCCAUGAUCCAUGUCUUCUCUAUUACCUUUGUAUGAGUGUAUGUGUGUGUGUGUGUGUGUGUGUGUUAUAUGCAUGUUCCCGUAUGUGUGCACAAGUGUGUGCGGAGACCUAGGGCUGAGCUUGGGAGUC
rnacentral:lncRNA from 1 species